GCUCUACCAGCUAGCUCAGUCGGUAGAGCAUGAGACUCUUAAUCUCAGGGUCGUGGAUUCGAGCCCCACGUUGGGCA